rnacentral:rRNA from 1 species
GAUGAACGCUGGCGGCGUGCCUAAUACAUGCAAGUCGAGCGAACAGACGAGGAGCUUGCUCCUCUGACGUUAUCGGCGGACGGGUGAGUAACACGUGGAUAACCUACCUAUAAGACUGGGAUAACUUCGGGAAACCGGAGCUAAUACCGGAUAAUAUAUUGAACCUCAUGGUUCAAUAGUGAAAGACGGUUUUGCUUUCACUUAUAGAUGGAUCCGCGCCGAAUUAGCUAGUUGGUAAGGUAACGGCUUACCAAGGCAACGAUGCGUAGCCGACCUGAGAGGGUGAUUCGCCACCCUGGAACUGAGAAAGGGUAGCGACACCUACGGGAGGAAGCAGUAGGGAAUCCUCCGCAAUGGACGAGUGCCUGACGGAGCAACGCCGCGUGAGUGCUGAAGGUCUUAGGAUCGUAGAACUAUGUUAUUCGGGAAGUACAAAUGUGUAAGUACCUAUGAACAUCUUGACGGUACCUAAUCAGAAAGCCACGGCUAACUCCGUG